GGAGAGAUGGCUGAGUGGUUGAAGGCGCACGCCUCGAAAGCGUGUGAUCUCUAACGGGAUCCCUGGGUUCGAAUCCCAGUCUCUCCGCCA
rnacentral:tRNA from 1 species